rnacentral:misc_RNA from 1 species
CAUCGACGGACCGACAAGAUGAAGAUAGCGUUGACUCAUCACCCAUGGUGUUCCGAAGCGUUUACCGCAGGAAAACGG